rnacentral:rRNA from 1 species
GAUCCAGAGAUUUCCGAAUGGGGAAACCCAGCAUGAGUUAUGUCAUGUUAUCGAUAUGUGAAUACAUAGCAUAUCAGAAGGCACACCCGGAGAACUGAAACAUCUUAGUACCCGGAGGAAGAGAAAGAAAAUUCGAUUCCCUUAGUAGCGGCGAGCGAAAUGGGAAGAGCCCAAACCAACAAGCUUGCUUGUUGGGGUUGUAGGACACUCUAUACGGAGUUACAAAGGACGACAUUAGACGAAUCAUCUGGAAAGAUGAAUCAAAGAAGGUAAUAAUCCUGUAGUCGAAAAUGUUGUCUCUCUUGAGUGGAUCCUGAGUACGACGGAGCACGUGAAAUUCCGUCGGAAUCUGGGAGGACCAUCUCCUAAGGCUAAAUACUCUCUAGUGACCGAUAGUGAACCAGUACCGUGAGGGAAAGGUGAAAAGCACCCCGGAAGGGGAGUGAAAUAGAACCUGAAACCGUGUGCUUACAAGUAGUCAGAGCCCGUUAAUGGGUGAUGGCGUGCCUUUUGUAGAAUGAACCGGCGAGUUACGAUUUGAUGCAAGGUUAAGCAGUAAAUGUGGAGCCGUAGCGAAAGCGAGUCUGAAUAGGGCGUUUAGUAUUUGGUCGUAGACCCGAAACCAGGUGAUCUACCCUUGGUCAGGUUGAAGUUCAGGUAACACUGAAUGGAGGACCGAACCGACUUACGUUGAAAAGUGAGCGGAUGAACUGAGGGUAGCGGAGAAAUUCCAAUCGAACCUGGAGAUAGCUGGUUCUCUCCGAAAUAGCUUUAGGGCUAGCCUCAAGUGAUGAUUAUUGGAGGUAGAGCACUGUUUGGACGAGGGGCCCCUCUCGGGUUACCGAAUUCAGACAAACUCCGAAUGCCAAUUAAUUUAACUUGGGAGUCAGAACAUGGGUGAUAAGGUCCGUGUUCGAAAGGGAAACAGCCCAGACCACCAGCUAAGGUCCCAAAAUAUAUGUUAAGUGGAAAAGGAUGUGGCGUUGCCCAGACAACUAGGAUGUUGGCUUAGAAGCAGCCAUCAUUUAAAGAGUGCGUAAUAGCUCACUAGUCGAGUGACACUGCGCCGAAAAUGUACCGGGGCUAAACAUAUUACCGAAGCUGUGGAUUGUCCUUUGGACAAUGGUAGGAGAGCGUUCUAAGGGCGUUGAAGCAUGAUCGUAAGGACAUGUGGAGCGCUUAGAAG